CUACCAUGCAGUCGAGCGGAAACGAGUUAUCUGAACCUUCGGGGAACGAUAACGGCGUCGAGCGGCGGACGGGUGAGUAAUGCCUAGGAAAUUGCCCUGAUGUGGGGGAUAACCAUUGGAAACGAUGGCUAAUACCGCAUAAUACCUACGGGUCAAAGAGGGGGACCUUCGGGCCUCUCGCGUCAGGAUAUGCCUAGGUGGGAUUAGCUAGUUGGUGAGGUAAUGGCUCACCAAGGCGACGAUCCCUAGCUGGUCUGAGAGGAUGAUCAGCCACACUGGAACUGAGACACGGUCCAGACUCCUACGGGAGGCAGCAGUGGGGAAUAUUGCACAAUGGGCGCAAGCCUGAUGCAGCCAUGCCGCGUGUGUGAAGAAGGCCUUCGGGUUGUAAAGCACUUUCAGUCGUGAGGAAGGUAGUGUAGUUAAUAGCUGCAUUAUUUGACGUUAGCGACAGAAGAAGCACCGGCUAACUCCGUGCCAGCAGCCGCGGUAAUACGGAGGGUGCGAGCGUUAAUCGGAAUUACUGGGCGUAAAGCGCAUGCAGGUGGUUUGUUAAGUCAGAUGUGAAAGCCCGGGGCUCAACCUCGGAAUAGCAUUUGAAACUGGCAGACUAGAGUACUGUAGAGGGGGGUAGAAUUUCAGGUGUAGCGGUGAAAUGCGUAGAGAUCUGAAGGAAUACCGGUGGCGAAGGCGGCCCCCUGGACAGAUACUGACACUCAGAUGCGAAAGCGUGGGGAGCAAACAGGAUUAGAUACCUGGGU
rnacentral:rRNA from 1 species